rnacentral:SRP_RNA from 1 species
GCUGGCCUUUAGUCCCAGCUACUCAGGAGGCUGAGGCAGGAGAAUUGCUUGAGCCCAGGAGUUCUGGGCUGUCGUGCACUAUGUCAACUGGGUGUCUGCACUAAAAGUUUAGCAUCAAUAUGGUGACCUCCCGAGAUCANGGGAAUCAACCAUGUUGCCUAAGGAGAGGGUGAAACUGGCCCAGGUCUGAAAAUGGAAGCAGGUCAGAACCACCUGUGCUGGUCAGUAGUGACAUCAUGCCUGUGAAUAGGCCACUGUACUUCAGGCUGGGCAACACAGCAAAGACCUUGUCUCAC